rnacentral:rRNA from 1 species
AAUUUUGGACAAUGGGGGCAACCCUGAUCCAGCCAUGCCGCGUGAGUGAAGAAGGCCUUCGGGUUGUAAAGCUCUUUCAGCCGGAACGAAACGGUUACGGUUAAUACCCGUGACUACUGACGGUACCGGAAGAAGAAGCACCGGCUAACUACGUGCCAGCAGCCGCGGUAAUACGUAGGGUGCGAGCGUUAAUCGGAAUUACUGGGCGUAAAGCGUGCGCAGGUGGUUUUGUAAGUCAGAUGUGAAAUCCCCGGGCUUAACCUGGGAACUGCGUUUGAAACUACAAGGCUAGAGUGUGGCAGAGGGGGGUGGAAUUCCGCGUGUAGCAGUGAAAUGCGUAGAGAUGUGGAGGAACACCGAUGGCGAAGGCAGCCCCCUGGGUCAACACUGACGCUCAGGCACGAAAGCAUGGGGAGCAAACAGGAUUAGAUACCCUGGUAGUCCAUGCCCUA